rnacentral:tRNA from 1 species
UUUAGGGAGACCUACCCGUCAGCAGCAGCGAUGCAACUGAUGUGGUCAUCCCAGGUCGGUCGAAGCAAAAGUGCAGGCUUUUCAACUAUAAUGGGUUUGGCAACAAGGGCUAUUAGCUCAGGUGGUUAGAGCGCACCCCUGAUAAGGGUGAGGUCCCUGGUUCGAGUCCAGGAUGGCCCACCUAAAGUGUGGGGGUAUAGCUCAGUUGGUAGAGCGCCUGCUUUGCAAGCAGGAUGUCAGCGGUUCGAGUCCGCUUACCUCCACUACGGUCUAAAGUUGUAAAAAAGGGAUAUCAGCACCGGGCGAAGAGCCAGGAUGCUGGUUAAUACCAGUCAGGACCUUGAAAACUGCAUAAGAAGAAGCGUGAAAGAAAAGUCAAGGUAGGUAGAACUAUCAAGAAACAGAUAGCUCUGAAGAAGUUGACAAGAGAAGU